rnacentral:rRNA from 1 species
GACGAACGCUGGCGGCGUGCCUAAUACAUGCAAGUUGAGCGCUGAAGGUUGGUACUUGUACCAACUGGAUGAGCAGCGAACGGGUGAGUAACGCGUGGGGAAUCUGCCUUUGAGCGGGGGACAACAUUUGGAAACGAAUGCUAAUACCGCAUAAAAACUUUAAACACAAGUUUUAAGUUUGAAAGAUGCAGUUGCAUCACUCAAAGAUGAUCCCGCGUUGUAUUAGCUAGUUGGUGAGGUAAAGGCUCACCAAGGCGAUGAUACAUAGCCGACCUGAGAGGGUGAUCGGCCACAUUGGGACUGAGACACGGCCCAAACUCCUACGGGAGGCAGCAGUAGGGAAUCUUCGGCAAUGGACGAAAGUCUGACCGAGCAACGCCGCGUGAGUGAAGAAGGGUGUCGGAUCGUAAAACUCUGUUGGUAGAGAAGAACGUUGGUGAGAGUGGAAAGCUCAUCAAGUGACGGUAACUACCCAGAAAGGGACGGCUAACUACGUG